GACAGAGGAGGCGAGCGUUGUUCGGAAUCAUUGGGCUUAAAGCGCGUGUAGGCUGCUCGACAAGUGCCUUGUGAAAUCCCCCGUCUCAACCGGGGAACUGCUUGGUAGACUGUCGGGCUUGAGGCUGGUAGAGGUGCCUGGAACUCUAGGUGGAGCGGUGAAAUGCGUAGAUAUCUAGAGGAACGCCAGAGGCGAAAGCGGGGUACUGGGCCAGAUCUGACGCUGAGACGCGAAAGCGUAGGGAGCAAAC
rnacentral:rRNA from 1 species